AUGUCUCGAGAGCUAGCCGUCGACGCACGGUGUUUAACUGGCCUUGGUGGUGAUCAUGGAGAUCGCGCCACGGCUACGGCCGAACCUGGCAACCUUGCAGUCGGUGGAGAAGAUGUCGGAGGAGACGUAGCUGGCGGCGCCGCCCAUGAUGGGCAUGUUGGCGCUCACGCUGAGCUUGUUGACGUAGUCCGUGCGGUAGGUCUGGCCGAGCACUCCGUGGACAUCAUCAGUGAAGGCGUGGAACUUGAACCCAAUGUCGAAGUGCGCGAGGCUGUCUUCCUCCGUCACGCCAUAGUUGUGGAUGCGCGAGUCCUUCUCGGUGAUGGGCACCACAUUGGCCAAGAUGUCAAACACCCCCUUGAGCUGGACCCUGACGCCGUUGGUCGCGGAGGUCCUGGUGACUGUCAAGGUGGGCACGAUGGUGGACUGCCACUCUGCAUCGUUCUCGGUGGGGAUGUCGAUGGGUAUGCCGUCAAAGGUCAGCUCAAGGCGGUCAACGUCGCUGUCCCACUCGGCGGUCUUCUGGGCGGCCAUGUAAAGGCGGUGGUCGGCGAAGCGGAUGCCGAGGGCCUGGAUCCAGGUGAAGUCGCGGCUCAUGGUGGGGUUACGCUUGCCGAUGAAGUGGGCAUUGAUGUGGAGGUCGGCGUCGGAGACGACGCAGAAGCUCUGGUCCUUCUUGCCGUGGAAGUAGAAGUUGUUGCCGUCGGCGCCGGUGAAGCGCGGGUCACCGCAAGACACCCCGGGGUAGAAGUCGCACACUUGAAAAUAAGGUGUCAAUUAGUUUGGGCACCUCAUUCUUAG
rnacentral:rRNA from 1 species